UACGUAGGGUCCGAGCGUUGUCCGGAAUUAUUGGGCGUAAAGAGCUCGUAGGCGGCUUGUCACGUCGGAUGUGAAAGCCCGGGGCUUAACUCCGGGUCUGCAUUCGAUACGGGCUAGCUAGAGUGUGGUAGGGGAGAUCGGAAUUCCUGGUGUAGCGGUGAAAUGCGCAGAUAUCAGGAGGAACACCGGUGGCGAAGGCGGAUCUCUGGGCCAUUACUGACGCUGAGGAGCGAAAGCGUGGGGAGCGAACAGG
rnacentral:rRNA from 1 species